AUGAAUGACUAUUUUAAUGUAUCUUAAAAAGAUAUCAUAUUUUUGAUGGUCAAAGUUUUUUCAAGAACUUAAAUUAUCACCAGAAAUUGAGAAAAUAAAUAUGGUAAAAAAAAAAAAAAAUAAGAAAAAUUUCUAACGAUGAAAUAAUCUAGUAUAUCAAGUAGUAUAAAUCUUAUUAAAAGACUCUAGAAGAGCAUAUACAUUGCUUUCUAUGGGAAUACAAAAUUAAAAUCAUCGAUGGGGUAUAAUUCUCCAAAUCUUAAAGUUAAUAUGAUGAGAUAUAAAAUACAUUAUGAUUCUAGAGUGGAAUUAAAAACGAGAUAGAUGAACUUGAAGUUUCAUCAUUUCGAGGAGGAGAAAUAAUGAAUCUCACAUCGAUAAUAAGUGACAUAUCCAGAAGAUUAUGUUCAAUCUUUGACUACUAAAGAUCUAAAAGUUGUAUAAAGCAAUUCUUAUACGAAUGUGUUAUCAGAUAAAAUAAGAUAUAAUUAGUUAUUACUGAAACUUCAAGACUUGAAGUCUCUUUGUGAAUAUAACUCACAUUGUUAAGAGAAUAUCUAUGAUGCAGAGAUGGUAAAACAGACGCUUAAACUUUUACGCAAGUAUUGUUGUCCUGUAGACACAAUAUUUUGAAAGAAAUUUUGAGAACUAUUAUAAACUUAAAUCGAGUGUUUUUCAAAGGCUAAGAAAAUAUAUGAGUUAUCGAUGAUAGGUAAUACUCAUAUUCUGAAGUGAAUAUAAGAUCUUACAUAGUUAGUCAAAUUUAAUAUCGUUUAUACUAGAAUAUAAAAUUUUAAUUAUUAUCUCGUUAUUGUUUUAUUAACAUAUGAUUGAUUAUUAAAAUACAUGGACGUAAUUUUGAUUAUAAGAUCUCAUUAAGGGAGUAACUGAUAAGCAAUGAAAAAUAAAUUAGAAGUUUUGAAAGAACUAGAAGUUUCAAAUGAAUUAAAAAUU
rnacentral:sRNA from 1 species